rnacentral:rRNA from 1 species
GAUGAACGCUAGCGACAGGCCUAACACAUGCAAGUCGAGGGGCAGCAUAGAGGUAGCAAUACUUUGGUGGCGACCGGCGCACGGGUGAGUAACACGUAUGCAACCUACCUGUAAGAGGGGAAUAACCCGGAGAAAUUCGGACUAAUACCGCAUAAAACCACGAAUUCGCAUGGAUUUGUGUUUAAACAUUUAUGGCUUACAGAUGGGCAUGCGUAUGAUUAGCUAGUUGGUAGGGUAACGGCCUACCAAGGCAACGAUCAUUAGGGGUUCUGAGAGGAAGGUCCCCCACACGGGUACUGAGACACGGACCAGACUCCUACGGGAGGCAGCAGUGAGGAAUAUUGGUCAAUGGGCGAGAGCCUGAACCAGCCAAGUCGCGUGAAGGAAGAAGGUUCUAUGGAUUGUAAACUUCUUUUGUAAGGGAAUAAAAAGAGUUACGUGUAACUUAUUGUAUGUACUUUACGAAUAAGGAUCGGCUAACUCCGUGCCAGCCGCCGCGGUAACAC